CACAUAAACCCUAACUCUCUCCCACUCCGCAAAAACCCAUUUCCCUUCCCUCGAAUCUUCGUCGUCACCAAGAUGGGAAGCAACCAAGCUGCCGUGUCUUUCCUCACCAACGUCGCGCGCGCCGCCUUCGGCCUCGGUGUUGGCGCCACCGUCGUCAACUCCGCGCUCUACACCGUCGACGGCGGCCAGCGAGCCGUCCUCUUCGACCGUUUCCGCGGAGUCAUCGACGACACUGUCGGCGAGGGGACCCACUUCCUGGUCCCAUGGCUCCAGAAGCCCUACAUCUUCGACAUCCGCACCCGGCCCCACACCUUCUCCUCCAUCUCCGGCACCAAGGAUCUCCAGAUGGUGAAUCUCACCCUCCGGGUCCUUUCGCGCCCCGAGGUCGCUCGCCUCCCUCAGAUCUUCAAAACCCUAGGGCUCGAGUACGAUGAGAAGGUCCUCCCCUCCAUCGGCAAUGAGGUCCUCAAGGCAGUGGUGGCGCAAUUCAACGCCGAUCAGCUCCUCACCGAGCGUCCCCACGUGUCGGCGCUGGUGCGCGAGAGCCUGAUUCGCCGCGCCAAGGAUUUCAACAUCGUUCUGGAUGACGUGGCGAUCACGCACUUGUCGUACGGGCUGGAGUUCUCGCGCGCCGUGGAGGCGAAGCAGGUGGCUCAGCAGGAGGCGGAGCGGUCCAAGUUUGUGGUGGCCAAGACUGAGCAGGAGAGGCGGGCUGCGAUUAUCCGGGCACAGGGUGAGAGCGAGGCUGCGAAGCUCAUCUCUGAUGCGACUGCUUCGGCGGGUAUGGGACUGAUCGAGCUCAGGAGGAUCGAGGCUUCCAGGGAGGUUGCUAACACGCUUGCCAGGUCGCCCAAUGUGUCUUACCUGCCUGGUGGGAAGAACAUGCUCUUUGGUCUCAACCCUCGCUGAUGAUCUCUAUGAUGUCGAUUGAGGAAAUUGGAAAGUGAAGAGAUAAUUUCAAUGUAUAACGGUUCCAGGACAUGGCAUAACAAGAAGACCAGUCCACGAAUACACCGAAGUCUUGAGUGGUUUAUUUCUAGAGUAAUUUUUUGGUUUUUACGGGAAGGCGGGUGUCUUGAACUUAUUUAGAAUGAGAGAUAAGGUUUAGGAAAGUGCCAUGGAUGUUGCGUUGAUAAUGCAUUUCUGACUAAGUUCACCUGGAUGUUAGUACUUGAAUAUAAUUUGGUGCACUUUUGUUCAUAUGUUGCAGUGCAGGAGGAUGUGUUAACCAAAAUUUUGCACCUAUUUCAAUUGCUUUUUCUCG